rnacentral:rRNA from 1 species
CCUACGGGUGGCAGCAGUGGGGAAUAUUGGGCAAUGGAGGAAACUCUUACCCAGCAAUGCCGCGUGAGCGAAGAAGGUCUUCGGAUUGUAAAGCUCUUUGAUUGGGGACGAAGUAAGUGACGGUACCCAAGGAACAAGCCCCGGCUAACUAUGUGCCAGCAGCCGCGGUAAUACGUAGGUGGCGAGCGUUGUCCGGAAUUACUGGGUGUAAAGGGCGUGUAGGCGGGUUCUUAAGUCAGAUGUGAAAUCCCGGGGCUCAACUCCGGAGCUGCAUCUGAAACUGGGGAUCUUGAGUGCUGGAGGGGAAAGUGGAAUUCCUAGUGUAGCGGUGAAAUGCGUAGAGAUUAGGAGGAACACCAGUGGCGAAGGCGGCUUUCUGGACAGCAACUGACGCUGAGGCGCGAAAGCGUGGGGAGCAAACAGGAUUAGAUACCCUUGUAGUC